AGUUCGGGCGAAUUGUUCAGCAGAAUGUCCGACCUUUGACGUUGUCUCUGGAGCUGGAAGCAAACAGGACUGUGAGAUUCCCCUCUCGUUCCUCUGCCAGUUCAACCGAGAUACAUACCUGAAGCUGAAGAAGUUUGAGUCAGAUCCAAC